AAAAGGCGGCCAUACCGAGGGACCCAUCAUAUUUUCAAAGCAGGGAUCUGUCGUGUUUGACGAAAGUGGACUUCUGAAUUUUUUUACUUUCCGUUCCCUUUCGCCACUUCGGCGCCCUCUUCGCCCUUCCUUAGGUCUUUACUUUCCCUCUGUUCUAUUUCUGUCUCGGUCAUCUUCAUCGUCGAGGAUUUGGCACAAAAAUCGUACGACGCAGAGGCUCGGGAGCUGUUGCUUCGUUGUCCUUUUGUUCUUCAUCUGAUUCCAUUUGCCUUUCUGCAACUAGCCAAGAUGAGCUUUGAAGCUAUUCAUAUUAAUAUAGCAUUUAGAUGAAUUCUAGCGUUUCAGAAAUAGAUUUCUGACUAUUUGGGAAAAUAGUUGUUUAUUGUCUCAGAUAUUGAUUGCUUGUUCAAGCUACCGUUGAUUGGAGACUCAAAAGUACGAAGAAUAGUCUGUUGCUCGCUGUGCUUCAGUUGGCUUUGAAGAUCUUUCUUCUACCACUGGGCCAUUUUUAGGAAGAAUGUAGCGGAUUCAAAUGUGCAGCAUAAUGCUUUUGACGCUUCAAUUAUUUACUUGAAAGCUGCUAAUGCUGAUGCUGAGAGGUAUGUAAAUGUACGAAGAAUGUGAUGCAAUAGUCGCUAAAUGCUUGACAGGGAGGCCAAAGACAUUGGAGAAUGCGAGAAGGUGCAGAUGGUAUUUCUGCUUUAGGAACUCUACCGAGCAGAGAGCUUCUAAUGUACAGAAGGUCAGCUGAGAAAUUAGUCAAUGCCUUUUGACAUGUUUAGUCGAUAUAUUCUGUCUUGUACUGACUCUCACAUAGCAAAAAAUGCUCUUCUUGGUUGUUUUGAAGUGUCCAGAUUGUACUAAUUCUUUUGAGAGAAAUAAUAAUAGAGUUAACCAUACUUUUUGUUAUA